AAAAUUAAAAGGACGCGGUAACCUUGACCGUGAUAAUGUAGCAUAAUCAUUCGCCAUUUAAUUGAUGGAUAGUAUGAAUGGUUGAACGAAUAUUCCACUGUCUUAAAAAGAAAUAAACAAAAAUUAGAAUAAUAGUAAAGAUACUAUUUAAAAUUGUAAGACGAAAAGACCCUAUAGAGCUUAACUAUAAUCUUUCUUUUUAAUAUUAACAGAAAGAUUGGUAGUUUAGUUGGGGCGACUGUCUUUUAAAAUUAACAAAGACAAGCAAAAUUAAUAUUAAAAUUUAUUGUAUAAUACAUAAAUUUAACAAUUACAAAAGUAGGCUAUAAUGACCCGUUAUUAUUUUAUAAAAAAAAUAACGAUCAAUAAAUAAAAGCUACCUUAGGGAUAACAGGAUAAUUUUAUUCUAGAGAUCUAAUCGAAAAUAAAGUUUGUCACCUCUAUGUUGAAUUAAGA
rnacentral:rRNA from 1 species